rnacentral:lncRNA from 1 species
GAUCUGGGCGACCUCCAUGUUAGAAUCUAUACUGUCUAGGAUCGAUUCCUAAGUCCCUAGAAUACUGAUCCGUAACUGAAAGUAAAAUCUUGAUGACGUGUAGAUCUGAUCUACUGAUCUACUGAGAGGAACGGGGAAACACACCUUUGUUGCUGUUGCUAUCUUCAUAUCGUCGCCCUGCAGAGAAGCAGCAGGCAUUGGGAUCCGAGCCGCUGUAGGUUGUCGCAUUUCCAAACACUCCGACGCCUAGGCGAUGGGGGCCUCUGAGGACUAGGGUUUUGGGGCGAGGUACUAGCGUUAGUCUUUCCUGCGACCCCUUAGUCCUAUAUAUAGCGUCGUGUGUCUGGGGGCUCCAACCGAGGUUAGCGUGGGCCCUCCCGAUCAAGGGCCCGAUUAAAGGAACGAUAGUUGGGUUAAGCCCAAUCCAGUCUCUAUUGACCGGCUGUAGAGGACACACCCAACAAUCUCCCCUUUGUUCUCUACAUUCCUUGUACUCAACUUUUCUAGAUUCCAUCCCUCGACAAGUUUACACAUAGAGACCAAUGCGUGACAAUAACCGAUUAAGUAUCAUCGCACUCAUUGACUACAACAUGCUCGCCUGCUUCAGAACGAAAAGAGACUUUAUUUGGUUGCAAUCUGUAGCCCCAUUGAUUCAAGAUCAUAGGUACUCCCUUAAACCCAUGCCGGCUGCGUGCUUACUAAACACGCUGGGUGGAAGACCUUUUGUGAGCGGAUCCGCUAGCAUCUGCUAUCUUCUGUUAUGCUCAUCUUUUAUGGUUUGAUCCUGAAUCUACUCCUUAACAACAUAAUACUAAAAGUCAAUGAACUUGGCAGCGCCACAUGACUUGUUGUUAUAGGAGUAUGGUACCGCUGGCUCAUUAUCGCAGUAAAUUCUCAGUGGUCGCUCUAUGCUAUCACUCACUCUUAAUCCGGGUACAAAUUUCUUUAUCUUUAUUGCCUGCCCAUUUGCCUCAUGCAUGGUUACAAACUCAGUGUGCAUUGUCGACGAUGCUCUCGCUGUCUGUUUGCAACUUUUAUAAGAAAUAACUCCCCCAGAUAUAGUAAAUUUAUACCUCGAAAUAGGGUACUAGAUCUUCUGUUUGUUAGCAUGAGGCCAUUUUCGUACCUUGGAGGUACAUUAGAGCCUUCUUUACUGCUUAACAGUGUUCUAUGCUUGGGUUGAUCUGAUAUCUCCCAAGCAUCCCGGUAGUAAAUUCUAAGUCAGGGCGAAUAUAUAUUUGAGCAUACAAAAUGCUUCUGAUAGUAGAAGCAUAUGGUACUGACUUUAUCUGAUCUUUCUGACACUGAAUCUGGGGACACUGAUGAUUCCCAAACUUAUCACCCUUGACUUUUGGCGCAGGCGCGACCUUACACUGAUGCAUACUGUACUUCUUUAGUACUUUUCUAUGUAUGACUUCUGUGAGAGUUCUAAUACUUCAUUAUGUCUAUCUCUGUGAAAUUCUAUUUUAAAACAUAAGAGGCUUCUCCUAUGUCUUUUUAUAUCGAAGUUCGAGGAACAAAAAAACUUUCUGUUUCCGCCAGUAGAUCUUUAUCACUACUAGCUAAACAUAUGUCAUCGACAUACAGAACAAGGAAGAUAUACUUUCUUUUUCCUUAGAUUUCGCAUAAAUGCAAUUGUCUUCCUCGUUAUCCUCGAAACUAAACUUUCUGAUAGUCUGAUCAGACUCGACGUACCACUAUCUGGAGGAAUAUUUUAAUUCAUAAAUGGACCUCCUUAAGUGACAUCUCUUGUUUUCCUUUUACUGCUCACAACAAAACCCUUUGGUUGUGUCAUGAACACAUUUUUCUGUUAACUCUCCAUUUAGUGAUGUUGUCAUUACAUCCAUCUGAUGGAGCUCUGGAUCAAAAAAGAGAGCCACUAAUGCCAUAAUGAUCUGGAAUGAAUCUUUUGUUAGGACAAGUGAGAAGGUUUUAUGGUAGUCAAUGCUUUCUCACUGUGUGAACGCCUUGGCCACAUGUCCUUGUAUCUUUCUAUAUUUAUUUGGAGUCACGCUUGGUCUUCUAGACCCACUAAUUUGCGCUUCUCGUAGCUGUUUCAUAUGUAAUGGGAUCACUUUCUGCUUCAAUGUCCUCACACAUAUAAAUCUCAUCGCUUUCUAUGUCUACACUUGUGUAAACUCCAUAAUCAUCAGGAAUCGCAGAUCGUCUGGACCUUUGAGACCUUCAUAAACUUGUUUCUAGUUCUGGUUCGUUAUGGGGCUCCUGCAUUGGUACGUCACUUGGCACAACACUACCACUCUCAUGUGAGCUCUCCUGUGCAAAACGACUCAGAAGAGCCAUACUGUGCAGAAGGUGAAUUGACUUACUCUGUGGUAGUUGCACUUGGUGAUGCAAUAUUUGCAGCAGGGGUUUCACCUCGAGCCGUUACAACUGUUGGUGGUACCACAGCGGGUAUCGAGAAGUAUGGUUCUUCAACCAUCGGAAUUGGGACAUACGUCCUCUUUUUCUGAAGGUCAACCUCUCUGAGUACCUUACUCCCCUUGAUCAUGUCAUCUUCUAGGAAAAUGACAUGUCUAGUUUCUAUAAACUUGGUUUGUCUGCCUGGAUAGUAGAAUCUGUAACCCUUCGAUCUCUCAGGGUAGCCAAUAAAAUGGCAGCUAGUGGUUCUCUCAUCUAGCUUUUCCUGUCCAGGAUUAAAUAUUUGAGCUUCUGCUGGACAACCCCAUAUGUUGAAGUAGUUGAGCGUGGGCUAUCUGCCAGUCAACAACUCAUAUGGAGUUUUAGCCACUGAUUUACUAGGAACUCUAUUUAGUAUAUGCAUGGUGGUUUUUAAAGCCUCCAUCCAUAGACCCAAUGGUAAGUUAAAGUAACUAAGCAUACUCAUUACCAUGUCCAUCAGUGUUCUUCUUACGCCUUUAGGCAACCACAUUCUGUUGCGGUUCACCAGGUGUUGAAUACUGAGCUACAAUAAUGUUUUCACUUAUGAACCUUGCGAAAGGAUCCUGGGACCUGUCCAUACUCAGUAUGGUGCCCUCAGUACUCCCCCACACGAUUUGAUAUGACAAUCUUUGUGUUCAAAUCGUGUUGUUUUUCUACAUCAGCAUUGAACUAUUUAAACUUGUCUAAAUCUUAUGAUCUGUCCCUUAAAAAAGGGUAAAUAUAAUCGUAGCGAGAGUAGUUAUGUGUGAAGGUUAUGAACAAGUCAAAACCCAUCUACUGUCCUAACUGGAAAAGGACCACAUAUAUCUAUAUGAAUAAUUUCUAACACUCUCGUACUGUGCAUGCAAUCUUUGCAUUGCACUAAGUCUGUCAAGUCUAGGUGAUGGAGAAUCCGUCCCUUAAUGAGACUUCUUUUCUCCCCCUCGAAAUAUGGCCCAAACGAUAGUGCCAUAAUUUCGACGAGGUUUCUCCAUCACAUUGUUUUCUUACUCCUGCUGAUGUUGGCUAGUUUGUUUUCUGGUGUAUCUAGCACCACUGUGCGAAGAUAAAUAAAGCAUGUCUCGUCAGAUGGCGAGACCAACAUCUUUAUUAUCAAAACUGAAUAACACACAGUCUCUGUCACCGAAGUGAUAGUGGAUGUGCUGAUUGUCUAAUCACGAAACUAAAGUUAAGUGUCUGUUUGCUUUCCGUUAACCACUGUAACUGUUUUCAGCCCUCUAGGAGCCUUAGGUUUGUACGGAAUUGCAUUCUGUAGCAUCUAUUGCAGGAAUUCUGGACACUUUCUAUUGUAUAUCCUGUCUUCUUGCAAUAGAGGCAGGUCUCAGGGGGGGUCUGAGAAACAGUCUGAUUGUUGCAUAUAGAAAACAUCGUGAUCAGGUUUGAUCUUAUUCUUGAACCUUUCUUAGAGGUUUUGUUCUGUUUGAGGAUUCUUAGUUUGGGAAGAUUGAUAGAAUCACUUAUUUGACUUAUCAACAAUUCCUCCUUCUAGACACACUGUGUUCUGGGUUGAUCUAUAUAGCACUUGUCCAUUUAGACAGGUGUUUUACUGAUCAUGAAAUGUCUCAUAUUCUGGAUUAGCACCCUCAAUAGGAUCCUAAAUGAGACUCUCAUUGUGAUCAAGUACAUUACACUUGGAUCUUUUCCAGUUGACCUUAUAGAUGCUGUACUGCGCCAUCUUAAGGUCAUCCUAAGGUGAGCCUACUGUAGGCUCAGUGGUUUCUCAAACCACAGUGAGGAAUCUAUUUCAUCCACUGUAGUUAUCAUCUUAAUCUUUUCCCGCCAUAAGUGACAAUAAAUACCACAUAGCGGUUUAAUCUACCUUAUCUGACCAACUAGUAGGCCAAUAUGUGCACUUUUGCAAAGUAAAACAGAAAAUAUUUAGGACGUCUGAAGUAAAUACUGAAACAUAGAACUUGCAUGAAUUAAAUAUUCGACGUUGGUCAAAAUAAUAACCAUGUUUGAUCUACAAAAAAAAACUUGUUCUAAAAUUCUAAACCAUCGUUGGAUGAUCUAGAAAACUUAAUUCUUGUAUAAAAUGUGGCAACAAUAUUCGACGUUGGUCAAAAUAUUCAAUCACCACAAAAAACCUGAAUUUCUAUGCACUUAAAGAGAAUUAAUCCACGUAGGCUUCAUAAUAAACAAUAAUGCAUAGAAAAAACAAAUAAUAAUCUUGUUCUAAACUCUAAAACCAUCGUUGGAUGAUUUAGAAUAUAUAUACUGUUCAAAAUAUGGUAACAAUAUCUAACGUUGGUUAGAAUAUUCAAUUACCGCAUUUUUUUCUGAAUUCUAUGCAAUUCAAAACAAUAAUUAAUCCACGUUGGUUUCAUAAUCCACUGAAAAUUGCAUAAAAUAAAGUACCGAAAUACGCAGCGGAAUAAAAAUAGUCCAUAAAUAUAUCUGAAAUUUUCUAUAACUGGAAAAAUAUUUCUAAGUUUUUUUCUGAAUUUUCUGCUCUAUUUUUCUAAUUUCUUUUCUGUGUUUCUAAUUUCUGAAAAUAGAAAACAAAUUCCAGGAAAAACUGGAGGUCAUUUCGGCCUGGUCGGCCCAGCCUAGACGUGGCCUUUCGGCCUACUAGAGGAAGGGGCGCACGCACUAGGCCGCAACCUGGGCCCAGGCCGCGUUUUUGGCCCACGCGGCCUCCCCCUCCCCUCCAAUUGAUCUCAGCCAUCGGUGGCGAUCCGACGGUCCAGAUCCACCCGUGUACUGUAGCAAGAUCUAUAAAUGCCGUGGGUUUCGGAGAGGCUGUAAACCCUAAUGCUCAUUUCUUCUCAAUCUCCCCAGCCGCCACAGUAAAAAAAACACAGCCGCCAGGGAGCUUCGACGGAUGGCCUCUGGCCGAUCGAGCCUUUUUUUUUUUAUUCUCAUUUCUUCAUUUCUAUUACGUGCUCUCUUUUCCUUCUGUUUUUGUACACCGCGGUGAGCUGCUCUCUGUGUAUUAUCUUCACUAGUAAAGUGAGAAGCUAAGUGCCUGUGCUGUAUUCUUGCCACCGUGAUGCACAAGAACGAGAACGGUUCUUGGUCUCUAUUUCUUCUCUCUUAUCCUUCGUUUGGCCGAACGUCUGUUUUUUUUUUUUUUUUUUUCGGCCGGCUCACCUUCACACGACCGCCAGGAAGCACUGGUGGCUGGCCUCUGGCCGACCGCGCCGCCCUGCACAGAGCCGCACAGCCGCCCAUCUCUUUGCUGUUUUUCUGUUUCUUGUUGAAGCUCAGGGCUCCCUCUCCACUCAGCAGACUGCCAGGACACAACGGCUGACCUCUUGGUGUCCGGCUCGGCCGGCACUGUGCACGGCGAAACGGGCCCCGCAGGCUCUCUCGCCGGCGGUCGCGACCCCACGGGUGGGCGCUCGGCCGUCGGUAGAAUCGUUCGUCGGUGGUCUGUUGAGCCAGUGACGUUGGCCGUUCUUUUCUUUUGAACCAGUCAGUGCAUCUGUGCACAGAUCUGCGUGUUCCUGUUUCUUAUUCGUUGAUUCUUGGUCGUGGAUCGUUGGAUCCUGAGCCCUGUGCGCCGUCUCUGUUGACGGAUGAACUGGUUAGGGUUAGGUUAUUAAACUCUAACCCUGAAAUAUCGGUCUGUUUACCCUAAAAUAUCGGUCUGUUUUGUUCUCGGGCGAUGAACUAUGAUUAAAAAAAUGAGUUCAACCACUGAUUCGAGACCUUUCUGUGUCUCAAAAAAAAAAACGGAAUGUGGAUUAGGAGAUCUAGGGUUCUUAGGUCCCUCUGAUACCAUUGUUAGAAUCUAUACUGUCUAGGAUCGAUUCCUAAGUUCCUAGAAUACUGAUCCGUAACUGAAAGUAAAAUCUUGAUGACGUGUAGAUCUGAUCUACUGAUCUACUGAGAGGAACGGGGAAACACACCUUUGUUGCUGUUGCUAUCUUCAUAUCGUCGCCCUGCAGAGAAGCAGCAGGCAUUGGGAUCCGAGCCGCUGUAGGUUGUCGCAUUUCCAAACACUCCGACGCCUAGGCGAUGGGGGCCUCUGAG